AGACCAGCAGCACGUGAGACAAAAGCCUGGCUGUGCCAAGAGCCAGCAGUGGCAGCAGGAGGAAAAACACUGGAUUUGGAAGCACUGAUAAGAGAGCUGGAAUCACUCACAUUCCUCCCUGACAGCCCCUCCUUGUUCCCUGAGCUCAGAACCAGGGUCUGGAUAAACUCCUUCAAGGAGCAUCCAGGCCUUGGAAGGAAAACCUUCCCCCCAAGGAUGCUCAGGUUGGGUUCCAGCACCCAGAGCUGACACUGCUGGUGCAGGUUUUAAAGCAGCAGCAAAGCAAACAGCAGGGACUGGAGUUGAUUUUUUCCACAUUAACUGAAAGGUUGUUAGUCAAGGACAAGAGGCCUCCAGGGCUGUACCAGAGCUGGAAAAUGGAGGAGUUUGGCAGUCUAAAUAAAUAUAUCCAUGUAUGCUUUUGUGCUCCAUCACAUUUGCCAAGACACGCAGGUCACAGAUAUCUGUGUGUGCCAAGAUGAACAAACACCAGGACCCAGCUUUGAAAACACAAUUCUAAUUCUGAACUUGAAGAGUUCUCAAUUCUCUCUGGCUGUGGCAACGCUUUGUUUCAUCUCUCUCGUGGAGAGAGGAACUGCAACAACACACAGCAGCGUUUCCCUAAUCUUUGAAACACUGAAAUUUUCCUCUGCUGCGGCCCAGACAUCCCAAAAAAAAAUCAUUUUAACACCAAGGAGAUGAAUUGAGCAGCGAAGUGGAUCCAUCAGCUGUGACUUCCACCUCUGGCACUUCAAGGAGAGCUGUGGGAACCCAACCCAGGGAAGCAGCACCACACGGGGAGCAGCUGCAGAGGAGCCAGGGAAGAAAACCCAGCAGGCAGAGAUCGUUUAAAACACAUUUUGUGAAGGCAGCUGACACCUGGAAACCAAGUGCUUACAUUGUUUGAACAACCUGUAAAUAGAAGGAAAACCUUCCUGGCUGGGCCCCCACAGCAAACCCAGCAGAGAGAGGGCUUUGAAGGCACCCGAGGUGUCUGUGCUGCUUCACUUUGAAGCUGCAGAUAAGGGUGAGCAGUGUAAAACACGACUAUUAUCAGCUCUGGCAGACACAGCCUGACAUGAAAACAGCAGCUCCCUCAGCGUGGUGAAUUCCUGAGCAAAGGGAGAGCUCCUUGCACAGGCACAGCCUCGGCCCCUCGAACAGGAGGUGGGUUCUGAACAGGGGAAAAAACGCAGUGGGAAGGGGGAGACACAUCCUGGAAGCACCUUUAAGUGAAGCUCCCACCAACAUUCAUCCAAAUCCUCGCUCAAACUGGGAAAAAUCAGCGUCCCCAUGAGGCAGACAGACGGUGUUUCAAAGGGGACCCCAAAUAUCCAACUUUUUCCAACCUGUGACAUCACCUGACUUAUAUAAAAUCUCCUUCC